rnacentral:tRNA from 14 species
GGUAGAGCACGACCUUGCCAAGGUCGGGGUCGCGAGUUCGAGUCUCGUUUCCCGCUCCA